ensembl:lncRNA
AAGCAAGCUGCCAGGAUUAUGACGGGGCCGCGGGCUGAGAGAGAGCAGUGCUUUCCUGCCUCGGAAAGUACGUGCUGCGAGGGGUGAUGCGCAUCGACUCGCUGGUGCAGCUGAGUCACGCUGAGCUGGCAAGCAUUUCAUCUAAACGAGCUGAAGUUUCCCCUCCACAGUGAGCAGUUGAGGCCGUCUGUGGUUAUACAAGGUAAAGGAAGGAGGCGGCUGGCACCACCGAGCCGGCAUCCUGCCUCUCCUAGUGAGUCACGCUGCAGGCCCAGUCCACCAGUUGUGUUCCCAGGGGCGUCUCUGUAUUGCUCGAGAGGUGGCAGUAACAGGUCGUGCAUGUGACGGCGUGGUCCCGUUGCCUCGAUCAUUUCCGCAUUGCUUUCUAGCGUGAUGACUAUGAGGCGGGUGCAAGUCCUGCCAUCCCUUGCCCUUGCUGGUAGCUGACCCUGGCUGUGGUAUGCAGCAGUUAAAGUGCCUGGAGGCCAUGCCAGACGGGGGGAACGCAUCGAGCCCCAUGUAUUCAGGGCCGGGGCGUGUUUGGUUGUCCAGGGAAUCGCUGCUCGUGCUGCACCGUCGGGGAGCUACGAACCACCAGCUCUUGGACGAGCUGCCAAGCUGGUAUUAUAAGAAUGGGAGAUUUGUGUGUCUGAAACGUGCCGCGUCCAGUCCCCCGGUUAAUCUGCCCUUGCAGGCAGUGGCCAGCUUCUCUCUACCUGCAGGAGUCAGAGCGCUGGCACAGAAGCGCGAGGGAGGUAAGCCUGGCAAAGGCAAGCUGUGCACGAGGCUGCCAAUCUGCUCACCGACACCAGGCACACGCAAUCACCUGGCCAAGACCAACAACUAUCCCACUGCCAAGCGACAGCGAUCAAGACGCCAGCGCUGCAAGAGGCUGGCCGAAGCCACCUGCCCUUGUGCCCCACAGCGUCAGCCCCGGGGUCAGCUGCGUGCCCCGGGCCACCGACUGAACAGGCGCCACGUGUCUCGGGGCCCGUCACCCGGAACGCGGUCGGCUCCUUGCAGAAGUGCGCUCGUGUCCCGCACUGCGAAUGCUCGCUCCUGACAUCACCGGCGAUCCAAGCGGCAUCGCGCAUCACACCUGCUUCUGGUGUCAGGAGGCGCACGGGGGUGAUCCGCACCGGGUACGUGUGGAGUAGAGCAUGGAGCGAUGCAGGGGCGCAACCCUCUUUUCAAGGCAUAACACGAAUCACUCAACUGGCUCUCCGGUCAUCUCCCUGUCCCCUGCACAGACCCCCUACCCAUAGCCAUCACUGUCUUUGUUCCACCUUUGCCCAUGUCAGCCCCUGGCUCGUUUCAGCCAGUGGUUUCGUAGCGAGCAAAUUAAUUGCUGGAGGAUGCUCCUGUUUUAACCAGUAAACCAGCACUAGGCAAAUGAGUUGCAGACGGCAGUGAUGGCUGCAUUCAUGAGGCAGGGAUGGGAAGAGCUCCCCGGUGCACCAGGCUGGUGGCAGCAUCUCUCAGGCAUGAGCUAAGGGCAUGGCACGCAGGGCAUAGCCUCCCAAGCUUUCCUGUGCGCCCCAUGGCUGGCAGGACUGACGACGUAAAUGAUGGUCCCUUCACAGUUUGCCCAUCACCUCUGCAAAUUAAAGCAGUGAGGAGCUUGGAAGCACCUGCUGCUUCCCGGCUGGAUCUGAGUGCCCAGCUUCCAGCGUCUGGGGCACAGGGGGUUAACUCAUUUCCAGGAUUUAUGACCUCCGGUGCCUCCUGUGUUUGCAAUCCC